rnacentral:rRNA from 1 species
UACGUAGGGGGCGAGCGUUGUCCGGAUUUAUUGGGCGUAAAGAGCUCGUAGGCGGCUUGGCAAGUCGGGUGUGAAACCUCCAGGCUCAACCUGGAGACGCCACUCGAUACUGCUAUGGCUAGAGUCCGGUAGGGGACCACGGAAUUUCUGGUGUAGCGGUGAAAUGCGCAGAUAUCAGGAGGAACACCGGUGGCGAAGGCGGUGGUCUGGGCCGGCACUGACGCUGAGGAGCGAAAGCAUGGGGAGCGAACAGG